GGGAGCCGCGUCGAGCCGGGGAGGAGCGAGGGACCCUGGGAGAGCUGUCUUUUCAGGGCUGAGGACCCGCCGGCACCUGAUGGAGAGCAAAUGGCUGUUUCCACACGUGGAGAACUUUUAACGAACACGUGAGGAAGGCGGGCAAUGUCUGUGGAAAAACUACCUCACAACCCAAGCGUCUUACUCCAGCCCCCAGGGCGACAGCUUGUUUACGGUGUUUCUGAAUGUCUCCGUCCCCUUUUGUCGGCCCCUCCUCCUCCUCUAACCCCGACUUCAGGCUUUGAGUGAGGCUUUGGUAGAGCAGCCGCCGCCGCAGGCGCCCCGGCCGGCGAAGCCCACCGGCAUGCGGGCGCAGAGGCCGUCUGCGCCUGCGCGGGGUGUCUGCUACGGGGAGGUGCGUGGAGCUCGAGGGCGUGGAGCUCGGGGCGUGUCUCCCGCCGCGGCGCCGGGGGCGGGGCGAGGGCGGAGCCUGGGGGCCUAGCGGCCCGCGCCCGGUGGCCUGACCACCCCGAACGCUGGGCCCGUGACGUCACCCCGCCGUGACGCGCACGCUGUAGGAAAACUAAUUAAUUAAAAGGAUUUACAGUAUAUCUUAUGACUCUACAGGAGCCUUGGGAUAUAGGAGGAUUAGAAGAAGGAAUCACAUGUGGCUCACGUGUUUAUGUUCUGACUUCGUAUUAGAUAAAAAUGAAUGCCAUUUCCCAUCCAGUACUGAAGUGUUAAAGUUAGAAGACAUUUGCUAAGUCAAAUCACUUCAGGUAUGUUGAAGAAAGUAUGCACAUCUUAUCUUCUGAACAUUUUGAUGGAAUUAACCACAAACUUCAUGCAAGAACAGUAAAAGGAAAGAUACUAUUCAAGUCCAGUACAUCAUAAUGCAGAAUUCUGUAUCAGUACCACCAAAAGAUGAAGGUGAAUCAAACAUCCCUUCUGGAACAAUACAGAGUAGGAAAGGUUUGCAGAAUAAGAGUCAGUUUAGGACCAUUGCACCAAAAAUUGUGCCCAAAGUCCUAACGUCCAGAAUGCUGCCAUGUCAUUCACCAUCACGCUCUGAUCAGGUGAAUCUGGGACCCUCCAUCAACUCCAAGCCGCUGGGGAUGUCCACCCAGAACUAUGCCCUGAUGCAGGUUGCUGGCCAGGAGGGGACAUUUUCUCUUGUUGCUCUGCCACAUGUUGCCUCAGCUCAGCCAAUUCAGAAACCCAGAAUGUCCCUACCUGAAAACCUGAAACUUCCUAUUCCUAGAUAUCAACCCCCUAGAAAUAGCAAAGCAUCAAGAAAGAAACCCAUCCUGAUCUUUCCUAAGAGUGGCUGUAGCAAAGCUCCUGCCCAAACCCAAAUGUGUCCUCAGAUGUCCCCUUCCCCACCUCACCACCCUGAACUCCUGUACAAACCCAGUCCAUUUGAGGAAGUGCCAUCACUAGAGCAAGCCCCAGCCAGCAUUAGCACAGCUGCGCUGACCAAUGGAAGUGACCAUGGGGACUUGAGACCACCAGUGACCAACACCCAUGGCAGUCUGAACCCUCCUGCUACCCCAGCAUCAUCCACACCAGAGGAGCCUGCCAAGCAGGACCUCACAGAUCUUUCAGGGAAAGCACACUUUGUAAGCAAGAUAACAUCUAGUAAACCUUCUGCUGUUGCCAGUGAAAAAUUUAAAGAACAAGUUGAUCUUGCAAAAACCAUGACCAGUUUAUCACCAACCAUUCUUGGCAAUGCAGUUCAGUUGAUCUCUUCAGUCCCCAAAGGGAAACUGCCAAUCCCACCCUACUCAAGAAUGAAGACAAUGGAGGUUUACAAAAUCAAAUCAGAUGCUAACAUUGCAGGUUUUUCUUUACCAGGACCUAAGGCCGACUGUGAUAAGAUAUCCUCCACCACAGAAGGCUUUAAUGCAGCCACCAAGGUGGCAAGCAGGCUACCUGUUCCACAAGUGUCACAGCAGAGUGCCUGUGAAAGUGCCUUUUGUCCACCCACCAAACUUGAUCUUAACCACAAAACAAAACUGAACAGUGGAGCAGCAAAGAGAAAAGGAAGAAAACGGAAGGUACCAGAUGAAAUUUUGGCAUUUCAGGGAAAAAGGAGGAAAUGUAUCAUUAAUAAGUGUAGAGAUGGUAAAGAAAGAGUAAAAAAUGAUCCCCAAGAAUUCAGAGACCAAAAGCUGGGGACCCUGAAAAAAUACCGUAGCAUUAUGCCCAAACCUAUCAUGGUCAUACCCACUUUGGCCUCCCUGGCUUCUCCAACUACACUACAGUCCCAGAUGCUUGGGGGCCUAGGACAGGAUGUUUUGUUAAAUAAUUCACUCACUCCUAAAUAUCUUGGCUGUAAGCAAGACAACAGCUCUUCCCCUAAGCCCAGCUCCGUGUUCAGAAAUGGAUUCUCUGGCAUUAAGAAGCCUUGGCACAGAUGUCACGUCUGCAACCACCACUUCCAGUUCAAACAGCACCUUCGAGACCACAUGAAUACACACACCAACAGACGCCCUUACAGUUGUCGGAUUUGUCGCAAGUCCUAUGUACGUCCUGGCAGCCUGAGCACACACAUGAAACUUCAUCAUGGUGAGAACCGUCUGAAGAAACUCAUGUGUUGUGAGUUUUGUGCAAAAGUGUUUGGCCACAUCCGAGUCUAUUUUGGCCAUCUGAAAGAAGUGCAUAGGGUUGUGAUCAGCACUGAGCCUGCGCCCAGUGAACUGCAGCCAGGAGACAUACCAAAGAACAGAGACAUGAGUGUGCGAGGCAUGGAGGGAUCGUUGGAGAGGGAAAACAAGUCCAACCUGGAAGAAGACUUCCUUCUAAACCAGGCAGACGAAGUCAAAUUACAAAUCAAAUGUGGUCGUUGUCAGAUUACUGCUCAGUCUUUUGCGGAAAUAAAAUUUCAUUUACUUUAUGUUCAUGGAGAGGAAAUUGAGGGCAGGCUACAAGAAGGCACCUUCCCAGGAAGCAAGGGGACUCAGGAAGAGUUGGUGCAGCACGCUAGCCCUGAUUGGAAAAGGCAUCCUGAGAGAGGGAAGCCGGAGAAGGUUCAUUCCUCCUCCGAGGAAUCACAUGCAUGUCCAAGACUGAAAAGGCAGCUCCACCUUCAUCAGAAUGGCGUGGAAAUGCUCAUGGAAAAUGAAGGACCCCAGUCAGGAACCAACAAGCCAAGGGAAACCUGCCAGGGCCCUGAGUGUCCUGGCCUCCACACGGUUCUUUUGUGGUCCCAUUCGGGCUUUAACUGCCUGCUUUGUGCAGAGAUGCUGGGACAGAAAGAGGACCUCCUCCACCACUGGAAGCACCAGCAUAACUGUGAGGACCCUUCCAAACUGUGGGCUAUUUUAAAUACAGUCUCCAACCAGGGAGUGAUCGAACUUUCCAGUGAAGCUGAGAAAUGAGACCCCAAGGCAACCUGGGGUUAAGGAGAGAGCUCUGUCGCCACCUUCCUUCAGAGCUUUGUGCUUUAUGGUGGUGCUUAGUCACAAGGAUCAAACAACAGGAUUGGUGUCAGAUGCCCAGGGCCACUGAAGAGAAAACUCCGCUUUUCAUUUAGCUGUCACUUGGCCCAAACCAGUCAAAGAUUCAUCAACAUCAUUGUGAAAAUGUCUUAAAUGGACAAUUCUUCUAGAAGACAAUUAAAAUAAGACAGAAAAGAUGGGCAACCGCUGAAAAGUAAGUUGUACCUGAAGCAUGAAGAAAAUCUCCCCCCACCCGUUCCAAGAGCUAUCUUAUUUCCCCCAAUUUUAAACUAAUAUUUAUGGUGCAACCAUGGCCCUACCGGCCACACCAUCCUGAAUGUGAACUGCCCAAGAAAUAGGGCUGAAAAUGGCAGUCCUGUCAUGCCAAGGUCUCACCUUGGAGCUGCCCGCUUUUGUGCUCCCAGCCCAGUCUUGCCAGCUUUCUCCUCUGGAGACGGGGCUACCCUGGCCCCACUUUGCCGCCUCACCUCUCCCAUGUCCCCAGUUCAUUUGCUUACUUGUGUUGUCACUUCCCAUUCCCUAGAAGGCCCCAGGCCCUGGGAUGUCCCAGCUGUUCUCCACUUCAACCACAUGGGGCCGAGUCCUCCCCUUCGAACAGGGACAGUUUUUUAUUAGGCCCCAAACUUGGAGGUAGCCCUCAAUUUCUUACAACAACCUUUUGUUCCUUGUUUACCCUCUUUUUCUGCCCAAAGUUAAGUUAAGCUCCACAGGAGCUUGGUGAGAAGGCCCUGUGACCACAUUCCUCCCCCCAGCAGCCUGCAAGCUCCACGCAACCUUCAUCACUUUGGGGUGAGCUCUCUGCUGCUGGAUUCCCUGCCUGGGGCUGUCUCCUCCAGCUGGUGUCAGUUUCCCCCAGCCAAGGCCUGCUGUCAUUCCCCAGAGCACCUCCCACGCUGCCUCCUGCUACGGAGUAAUGUCUUCAAAGUACACAGUAACAUGGUUUCCAGCAGAACAUAGGCAAAGCAAAAGUUUACAGGAUUCAUCAUUAGGAGAGAGGGAAGCUGAAGAAGGAAAUUGUAAAAGGAAAACAUUAAACAUUCCCUGAGUGAAAGGUAGGGGAACCCCACUCGCUUAGGGAACAGCUGCACCACCUCUCCAGACUCUGGCUCAGUCCAGACAAAUUCCAUGAGUGAGGGGGGCAUGAAGGCAUGGCCCUCAGUACUUUAACUGUGGUGGCUGUCCCUGGCUUGCCCACUCUCUUGCUGUCCAAUCACAUGCAGUUCAGUUCUCCCGAGAAAACUGCAGGCGCGAUGGUUCUCCACUGAUUGUCUUUGUUGCAGUCCUUGAACUCUCAAGGUUGCAGAAGUUGCUAGGGUUCUAACUGUCGAAGUGAAUCGUGCUCCUCAGUGUCAAGGGUCAGCGUGCACUGUUUCUUUCACGGAACACGAUUAACAACUAAAACAAAGGAAAGAUCAGACCGGGUGUGCGGCUCAGGUGACAACGGGGUUCCUGUUCAGGUCAGUUUCCUGCUCUUCCUACCAAACUGGUCAAAGCAAUUAAAUGUGUGAACUGUGUUAUUUAUGAGUUUCCAGGGCUGUAAAAGUCAUGUCUGUGCUAAGAGACCAAAAAUACAUAUCCCUUGAACACCACAGCAAACACCCUCUUCUGUCAAACAAACAGAUAUUCUCUUCUCCAAAAUCAAAACCUCCACCAACUCAGAAAGUUAGCACAGGACGGAUUUCUCGCAGAGAGUGCCUCUCUAGGCAGGUGAGCCGUGCAUGGGGCCCAGCGACAAUUGCCGAUUGUGAUUUAUUAGUGGAGGAAAAUUUGGAAUUGGACUUUACCGUUGGGAUUUACUUGCAUUUGAAAGCAAUGCAGUUAGCAGUCCAUCUUUCAACACUGAAUGUAUUUUCUCUGCUUUUAUAUCUUUCUGAUGAAUUAAGCACUUAUGUGAGGUGAAGGAUUGAAAACACUAGCAGCCUAAUCUCUCAGUAGAUCUGCUUGCCAGAUAACAGCUGUAUGGAAAAACACGGGGACCAAUUUUACAUUGUUUCUCCACCAAUUCAUACCAGCCAUGAACUGUGAUGCUCCCCCGAAUUCUACAAUGGGCAGAUAAUAAGAGUUCCUUGCCCUCCAGUUCUCCAAGCCGUUUCGAAGAAGGCCUGCUAAUUGAAUUCAGUUGUUUGCAGUUUUAAAUGUUCAUGCUUUCCACAAAACAAGAAUAUAUUAAACUCAUUUCAUCUGUCAUCCAAGAAGAAUUGGAGCCUGCAUUUUUAUUACCAACUGACUUGUGUGUUCAUCUUUAUCCCAGAUUUUUUUUGAAAUGUUUGCAAUGUAAUUAAAAACAAUCAAGUCAAAUGAUGUAUUUGAAUUGUUCCCUUUGGGGGAAGAUAAAGGAGGAGAAAAUAUAGCUACAAUUGCUUCAUUUUUGCUGAGUAUUUCUGCCUUCUCAACAGAAAUACAUCAUGUAUCUGCUCACCUAGAGCGUUUUGUAAUGUCACUGGUGAUUUAACAAUUACAAAAUAUUGUAAUUAAAUGUUCAAAUGCUCUC